rnacentral:rRNA from 1 species
CAGUAGCCGCGGUAAUACGUAGGGUGCGAGCGUUAAUCGGAAUUACUGGGCGUAAAGCGUGCGCAGGCGGUUCGUUAAGACAGAUGUGAAAUCCCCGGGCUCAACCUGGGAACUGCAUCCAAAACUGGCAAGCUAGAGUAUGGUAGAGGGUGGUGGAAUUCCCGGUGUAGCGGUGAAAUGCGUAGAGAUCGGGAGGAACAUCAGUGGCGAAGGCGGCCAUCUGGGACAACGCUGACGCUGAGGCACGAAAGCUAGGGGAGCAAACAGGAUUAGAUACCCCAGUAGUCCCUGUCUCUUAUAC